GCAAAAAGUAACAGAAUUGCAAAGUGCUGUAAUCACUGGAACUGGGAAACUGGACUUGAUAAGCUUCGUUUCCCAUAUAAUCAAUUCAGGUGAGUUGGCAACGGUUGAAAUCAAAUUCUGGGGAUGAGCAGAUGUGCCUUUAAAUGACUGAGCUCAUUCUCCAUCUUUGUAGUCUAAAGGGGAAAAAAGGGAAGUUUUAGGGGUUUACUAAUAUGACUUUUAAACCAAACCAUCUUUUCCCUCCCUGCCAACAUGUUUAGAAGGAGAAGGCUUUUGUGUGAGAAGACAGUGUAAAAUAUAGAUCCCAAUCUGAAGGACAGCUUCUUCUCUCAAUUUUCAAAUACCAUCCAUGAUUUUACUAAGAAAUAUCUUUAUUUUUUGGACUUCAUGUUUGUCAAGUCUGAGACUUCUAUUAGGCUGGAGGUCUGAGUGCACUCACCCAAAAACAUAAUAAUUUUGAUUACGAGUUUGAUUUUCUUUUUCUCAGUUUGUUUUGAUUUUUUUCACAAGCUUCUCUGCAGCUAGAAAAGAACAGAAGAGAAAUUCCUGCUGUGCCAGAGUAGAGAUUGCAUGAUUUAUAUUUGAUAGCUCUUUGUUUUAGUAAUUCUCAAUGUCAGUGGAAAAGAUGGUCGUGAGGGUGCAAGGCUGGAAAGCAUGAAUUUAUCGGUGACAGAGCUUUGAGGUGAGGAGGGGGAAAUUAGAGCAACCUGUAAAGAGUGGAGAAGCAUUUCCCUCCUGAAUAAGGGAUUUAUUAUUAAUAAUUUUUAUUUUUAUUUUUCCCCAGGUAGAAGUACAAAGAGAAUAAAGGAAGAUAAAGGAGGGCUUGAGGAUGGGAGCUGUGACCCAGGCAACACUAGUAACACAAUAGCCGUUCUGAACUAAAUCUGCAUUUCUUUUAUCCUAUUACCAAGGAAGGCCAGGUUAUAUUUAUUGCUUGCUCCAGUUAAAGAGCAGCACAGAGCAGAAAUGGCUCCAAAACAGACUAAGGAUGAAGCUUUUGCCUUCACUGCACUCUGCUGGGGGUUCCUGCCCUGCUCCCCUCCUUUGCCCCCUGUCACCUCCUGCCAGGGAGGUCCCUGCAAGCACAGGUCCUUGCAUCAUGGGCUUGACAGAGGGCAGGUCAUGCGUGCCUGGGCUCUGCUUGCAUCUAACCUUCUUCCAUCACAAGCUUUGUCACCGGUGCGGAAAAGUGAGCCCAUCUAUUGCAUCGCUGCUGGGAAGAUUCUCCUGCAGAAGAUAAGGAACAUCUUUAAUCAUCUUUAAUUCUGCCUUAUAAAGCACCAAGCACCGUUUUUACCCUCUUUACGAAAUGUACUGGCCAUCAGACUGUUUUUCCUUAUCCACAGAAGAGACUGUUCUGUUCUUGAGCAAUUUGGCAGUUUGCUUGAAGAUAAAGACCAGAGGGUGGCUCUUGAGCUAUGAGCAAUUUAUGUGACUCCCCAGCACAGCUGGAUCCAGAUGUCCCAGCUGUGGGAGCUCCCCUAAGUGCUCAGCUCCAAGAAGAAUUGACCCAGGAGGGACAGCCAAUGUCUGCAGCUGAAGCCAAGCCUUCAAGACAAUAAAGAGGAGCUCCUGUUGAUUGUGGCCA
rnacentral:lncRNA from 1 species